rnacentral:rRNA from 1 species
UGGGGAAUCUUGGACAAUGGGGGAAACCCUGAUCCAGCGACGCCGCGUGACUGAUGAAGCCUUUCGGGGUGUAAAGGUCUUUCAGUGGGGACAAUCAUGAUGGUACCCACAGAAGCAGCUGCGGCUAACCACGUGCCAGCAGCCGCGGUAAUACGUAGGCAGCAAGCGUUGUUCGGAAUUACUGGGCUAAAGCGAGUGUAGGCGGUUUGCCGUGUCUGCCGUGAAAUCUCCCGGCUCAACUGGGAGGGUGCGGCGGAAACUGGCAGGCUAGAGUGCGGAAGAGGAAAGUGGAAUUCCUGGUGUAGCGGUGAAAUGCGUAGAUAUCAGGAGGAACACCGGUGGUGAAGACGGCUUUCUGGACCGCAACUGACGCUGAGACUCGAAAGCGUGGGGAGCAAACAGGAUUAGAUACCCUGGUAGUCCACGCCCUAAACGAUGCAUACUUGGUGUGGGUUCUUCACUGGAUCCGUGCCGGAGCUAACGCGUUAAGUAG